rnacentral:piRNA from 1 species
UAAGAAGAAAGAAUUUGAGGAAACUGCGAA